rnacentral:rRNA from 1 species
UAGGGAAUCUUCGGCAAUGGACGAAAGUCUGACCGAGCAACGCCGCGCGAGUGAAGAAGGUUUUCGGAUCGUAAAACUCUGUUGUUAGAGAAGAACAAGGACGUUAGUAACUGAACGUCCCCUGACGGUAUCUAACCAGAAAGCCACGGCUAACUACGUGCCAGCAGCCGCGGUAAUACGUAGGUGGCAAGCGUUGUCCGGAUUUAUUGGGCGUAAAGCGAGCGCAGGCGGUUUCUUAAGUCUGAUGUGAAAGCCCCCGGCUCAACCGGGGAGGGUCAUUGUCAACUGGGAGACUUGAGUGCAGAAGAGGUGAGUGGAAUUCCAUGUGUAGCGGUGAAAUGCGUAGAUAUAUGGAGGAACACCAGUGGCGAAGGCGGCUCUCUGGUCUGUAACUGACGCUGAGGCGCGAAAGCGUGGGGAGCAAACAGG